UUAAGCGACUAAGCGUACACGGUGGAUGCCCUGGCAGUCAGAGGCGAUGAAGGACGUGCUAAUCUGCGAUAAGCGUCGGUAAGGUGAUAUGAACCGUUAUAACCGGCGAUUUCCGAAUGGGGAAACCCAGUGUGAUUCGUCACACUAUCAUUAACUGAAUCCAUAGGUUAAUGAGGCGAACCGGGGGAACUGAAACAUCUAAGUACCCCGAGGAAAAGAAAUCAACCGAGAUUCCCCCAGUAGCGGCGAGCGAACGGGGAGCAGCCCAGAGCCUGAAUCAGUGUGUGUGUUAGUGGAAGCGUCUGGAAAGGCGUGCGAUACAGGGUGACAGCCCCGUACACAAAAAUGCACAUACUGUGAGCUCGAUGAGUAGGGCGGGACACGUGGUAUCCUGUCUGAAUAUGGGGGGACCAUCCUCCAAGGCUAAAUACUCCUGACUGACCGAUAGUGAACCAGUACCGUGAGGGAAAGGCGAAAAGAACCCCGGCGAGGGGAGUGAAAAAGAACCUGAAACCGUGUACGUACAAGCAGUGGGAGCACGCUUAGGCGUGUGACUGCGUACCUUUUGUAUAAUGGGUCAGCGACUUAUAUUCUGUAGCAAGGUUAACCGAAUAGGGGAGCCGAAGGGAAACCGAGUCUUAACUGGGCGUUAAGUUGCAGGGUAUAGACCCGAAACCCGGUGAUCUAGCCAUGGGCAGGUUGAAGGUUGGGUAACACUAACUGGAGGACCGAACCGACUAAUGUUGAAAAAUUAGCGGAUGACUUGUGGCUGGGGGUGAAAGGCCAAUCAAACCGGGAGAUAGCUGGUUCUCCCCGAAAGCUAUUUAGGUAGCGCCUCGUGAAUUCAUCUCCGGGGGUAGAGCACUGUUUCGGCAAGGGGGUCAUCCCGACUUACCAACCCGAUGCAAACUGCGAAUACCGGAGAAUGUUAUCACGGGAGACACACGGCGGGUGCUAACGUCCGUCGUGAAGAGGGAAACAACCCAGACCGCCAGCUAAGGUCCCAAAGUCAUGGUUAAGUGGGAAACGAUGUGGGAAGGCCCAGACAGCCAGGAUGUUGGCUUAGAAGCAGCCAUCAUUUAAAGAAAGCGUAAUAGCUCACUGGUCGAGUCGGCCUGCGCGGAAGAUGUAACGGGGCUAAACCAUGCACCGAAGCUGCGGCAGCGACGCUUAUGCGUUGUUGGGUAGGGGAGCGUUCUGUAAGCCUGCGAAGGUGUGCUGUGAGGCAUGCUGGAGGUAUCAGAAGUGCGAAUGCUGACAUAAGUAACGAUAAAGCGGGUGAAAAGCCCGCUCGCCGGAAGACCAAGGGUUCCUGUCCAACGUUAAUCGGGGCAGGGUGAGUCGACCCCUAAGGCGAGGCCGAAAGGCGUAGUCGAUGGGAAACAGGUUAAUAUUCCUGUACUUGGUGUUACUGCGAAGGGGGGACGGAGAAGGCUAUGUUGGCCGGGCGACGGUUGUCCCGGUUUAAGCGUGUAGGCUGGUUUUCCAGGCAAAUCCGGAAAAUCAAGGCUGAGGCGUGAUGACGAGGCACUACGGUGCUGAAGCAACAAAUGCCCUGCUUCCAGGAAAAGCCUCUAAGCAUCAGGUAACAUCAAAUCGUACCCCAAACCGACACAGGUGGUCAGGUAGAGAAUACCAAGGCGCUUGAGAGAACUCGGGUGAAGGAACUAGGCAAAAUGGUGCCGUAACUUCGGGAGAAGGCACGCUGAUAUGUAGGUGAAGUCCCUCGCGGAUGGAGCUGAAAUCAGUCGAAGAUACCAGCUGGCUGCAACUGUUUAUUAAAAACACAGCACUGUGCAAACACGAAAGUGGACGUAUACGGUGUGACGCCUGCCCGGUGCCGGAAGGUUAAUUGAUGGGGUCAGCGCAAGCGAAGCUCUUGAUCGAAGCCCCGGUAAACGGCGGCCGUAACUAUAACGGUCCUAAGGUAGCGAAAUUCCUUGUCGGGUAAGUUCCGACCUGCACGAAUGGCGUAAUGAUGGCCAGGCUGUCUCCACCCGAGACUCAGUGAAAUUGAACUCGCUGUGAAGAUGCAGUGUACCCGCGGCAAGACGGAAAGACCCCGUGAACCUUUACUAUAGCUUGACACUGAACAUUGAGCCUUGAUGUGUAGGAUAGGUGGGAGGCUUUGAAGUGUGGACGCCAGUCUGCAUGGAGCCGGCCUUGAAAUACCACCCUUUAAUGUUUGAUGUUCUAACGUGGACCCGUAAUCCGGGUUGCGGACAGUGUCUGGUGGGUAGUUUGACUGGGGCGGUCUCCUCCUAAAGAGUAACGGAGGAGCACGAAGGUUGGCUAAUCCUGGUCGGACAUCAGGAGGUUAGUGCAAUGGCAUAAGCCAGCUUGACUGCGAGCGUGACGGCGCGAGCAGGUGCGAAAGCAGGUCAUAGUGAUCCGGUGGUUCUGAAUGGAAGGGCCAUCGCUCAACGGAUAAAAGGUACUCCGGGGAUAACAGGCUGAUACCGCCCAAGAGUUCAUAUCGACGGCGGUGUUUGGCACCUCGAUGUCGGCUCAUCACAUCCUGGGGCUGAAGUAGGUCCCAAGGGUAUGGCUGUUCGCCAUUUAAAGUGGUACGCGAGCUGGGUUUAGAACGUCGUGAGACAGUUCGGUCCCUAUCUGCCGUGGGCGCUGGAGAACUGAGGGGGGCUGCUCCUAGUACGAGAGGACCGGAGUGGACGCAUCACUGGUGUUCGGGUUGUCAUGCCAAUGGCACUGCCCGGUAGCUAAAUGCGGAAGAGAUAAGUGCUGAAAGCAUCUAAGCACGAAACUUGCCCCGAGAUGAGUUCUCCCUGACUCCUUGAGAGUCCUGAAGGAACGUUGAAGACGACGACGUUGAUAGGCCGGGUGUGUAAGCGCAGCGAUGCGUUGAGCUAACCGGUACUAAUGAACCGUGAGGCUUAACCUU
rnacentral:rRNA from 1 species